UUUAAUAUCUUGUUCUCCCCUCCAGGUCUGUGCCCCUCCAGGCCCAAGCAUAUAUCAUAGUAGUUGGAAGUCAAAAUUUGCAUUAACCGAAAGCUACAGGCAAAAAUGAUAAAAUGAUCAGUGCAGCAUGAAAUGAAAGAGAAAUUGUAAUGGAAUUGGAAGCAAACAAAUGUCCCUAUCAUCCAAAAGGGAGGAGAAGUCAAGAAUGAUCCAUCACUAAAGAUAAAAUCUUCUUCAAGGUCUUUUCCUUUUGACCCAGGAGAUUCUGUUUCUUAAAGAGUUGUUAUUCCUGAAUGCCCAUCUUGAGA
rnacentral:lncRNA from 1 species